rnacentral:rRNA from 1 species
CGCGUAGGCGGACCCUCAAGUCGGAUGUGAAAACCAGUGGCUUAACUGCUGGCCUGCAUACGAUACUGGGGGUCUUGAGUACAGGAGGGGAAAGUGGAAUUCCAGGUGUAGCGGUGGAAUGCGUAGAUAUCUGGAAGAACACCAGUAGCGAAGGCGACUUUCUGGCCUGAUACUGACGCUCAAGCGCGAAGGCUAGGGGAGCAAACA